rnacentral:lncRNA from 1 species
AGGCGCCCCCAAGACUCUCCCGCAAAGCCCAAGCCCACUCUCUCCAGCUUUCUAGAUAGUCUGGAAAGACCCCCAGAUGCUUCCCCUGCCUAUCCUUUUCAGCCAGGACCUGCUUUCACUCUUCAAAACUAGCCGGAGGUCGGCGAGCAGCUCCUUUUCGGGAUGUGCUUUUUGUACGGCCAUGGAAACUGGACUAGCGGAAAGGCUACCUUUUGGCCAGCAAGCCAGGCCCCUUAGAAAGAGGCCCCAGUGGGGAGCCCGGCGCUCCUAAGGCCGUUUGGGAGUCCCCAGUUUUCCACUCGCUGACACGUUGCUUCUCUUAUCCCACCACCGCCGCCCCGGGCAAAGGCACUGCCUUGUCUGAAUGCGGGUCUGAGGCGCUUUCUGCGGAGCCUGGUCCUUUCCCUUCAAUGGUGAUGUGUGUGGUCUUGCUGAGCCAGGCAACUAGGGGGACCCUUCGCUGUGGAAAAAUUGGUGCUGCGGGAAAGGCAAGACUCACUCCCUUGCAGGAAACAAAGACCCCUUAGGAGAGAGAAAUGUUCAUGGAAUGAAUGAAUAAACAAGUUUGACCUACUGCUCUCUUCCUUUUGGGGACUUGGGAGAAAUUGGGCAGGGCAUAGAGGAAAGGGCUGGGUGUGAUCGCAGUUUUUGCUUUCAAUGUUUUACUGAGGAAAUCCGUACAACUGCCUAUUUCCGCCGCACGUGAGGCUUCGGGUGCCCUCGCCUGCACCAGUGUUUAUGAUUGACAAGCGAGGUCCCGAUUUCCCCCAUCACACUCCUGUGUUCCCUACCCCAAACCUUCUACUCUGUUCAGGCCAGUCUUCCCUACCGCAAACCUUCUACUCUGUUCAGGCCAGUCUUAAAUAAUAGCCAUUCUUGCUUUGGUGUCCAAUCUCCUCUCAUCCCCUUAAAUGCCGCUGUCAUGCAAGGCUUAGUCUUCGAGCCACAGGAAAGCGCCCCGCAUGCCUUAAUCCCUCCGUACUCAGCCCUCUUUUUGCAGGUACUAUUUUCUAAAACAAUAUGGUGACGGACUUUUAAAAAUCCGUGCUGUCAUGCACUCAAAAUCGUUCCAGACUAUUUGUAGUAUCAUCUGCCCAAAGAUUGUGAACUCCCCAAGGGCAGGUUUGGAAUUUGACACACAAUUAGGGCUGAAAAAACUAUCUUCCUUCCACAUACAUUCCCCAAUAAAAUCAAUCAACUCUUCUUGUCACAACAAUCUUGGUAGUGGUAGGUUAGAGAGGAGUCCCAGGAAGUUUCUUUAUAUUAGGUUUCAACUGAUAACAAUCAAAAGGUCUUAAACCACUUUUUCAUUCCAGAUGAAUCUCUGGUCGUUUCCUCUGCCCAGUUAGAGGUGCUAAGGAGGCCCUCAGGGUUGGUAGUUAUGGGUGGCAAGUGGCACUAUAAGUAAAUCUCAUGUCUUUUGGACUUUUUGGUGGUUUGUAUUGCAACACAUAUUUAGGAGAAGCACAAUACCUGUAC